GUCUAUAGUGAUACCACACUGAAUGGUCCCAAUCUUGUCUGAUCCCAGAAGCUGAGCAGGGUUGGGUCUGCUUAGUACUUGGAUGGGAGAUAUUUAGUUUAUUGAAAAUUUAAGGCU
rnacentral:rRNA from 1 species